UAGCCUACCUCUACUCAAAGGAUAACGAGACUGAGAAAGAAAUUAGUGAACUGACAUCCUUCAUAAUAGUCCCAAAUUAUAUAAAAUAUCUUGGUGUGACUUUAACCAAGCAAGUAAAAGAUCUGUGUGACAAGAACUUGAAGUCUCUAAAGAAAGAAAUUGAGGGUUCUGUGCACAUGGAAUGGUAGGAUUAAUAUAGAAAACAUGGUCAUUUAGCCAAAAGCAAUCUACAGAUUCAAUACAAUCCCCAUCAAAAUCCUACUCAAUUCUUUAUAGAAAUACAAAGAGUGAUUUGCUCACUCCUUCUUUAAAAGGGGAACAAGAAUACCCUUGGCAGGGAAGAGAGAGGCAAAGAUUAAAACAGAGACUGAAGGAACACCCAUUCAGAGCCUGCCCCACAUGUGGCCCAUACAUAUACAGCCACCCAAUUAGAC
rnacentral:lncRNA from 1 species